UGGCUUCCCAGCCAGCUGACAUUGGUGCACUGUCUGGGACAUGAAAGGCUCCCCCAACAAACUGGUCAUUUUCUGAAAACACAAGAACCAAUUCCACAUGGUGUUCCAGUUUUGGCACAAAUGUUGUUGCUGCCACUCGAUUCAGACCUCUUAUCAAUCUGUGACAGAAUGACAACAGAAGAAAUACUGAAGAUGUUGGAAACAUUUAAUAAAGGACCAUAAUACAUAUUUGAAACUCAGUAAAUUAAAUAAAAAUGAAGAAAAAACAUUCCUAACUACGGACACCGAAAUCUAAAAGCAGCAAAAUAAAAGCUGCAACGGGCUGUGGAGGAGGCUGCUCUCACUGCAGAGAUUACUGAGCUGCAAGACUCUGCCCCUUCCCCUCAGAGAACCAACAAACUUCAUGUGGACUCCCCUAUCUCCUACGGAAGUCUCACAGACCCGAAGAUGAAAAUAUCUGCCGUGAAAUCCAUGGCUUCUUCCCCCCAGAAAUACACUGUAUUCAUAAACUUUGUAAAAGUA